GGCUUUGUCGUCUAAUCGGUUAGGACGCAGGACUUUGAAUCCUGUAAUCUGAGUUCAAGUCUCAGCGAAGCCACCA
rnacentral:tRNA from 1 species